rnacentral:rRNA from 1 species
UGCGUAGGCUGUUACUUAAGUCUCUUUUGAAAGACUGGUGCUCAACACCAGAAACGGAGGGGAAACUGGGUGACUUGAAUUCGAUAGGGAGAUGCGGAAUUUCUAGUGUAGGGGUGAAAUCUGUUGAUAUUAGAAAGAACACCAAUGGCGAAGGCAGCAUCUUGGGUCUGAAUUGACGCUGAGGCACGAAAGCAUAGGUAGCAAACA